CUGUGAUUGUGGUCUGUGCUUCCCUGUCUGUGUUGCAGCUUUGGUAAAGGCAGUCUCAGUCGACUGGUGGGGUCGGAAGCCAGAUUGUAGCCGGUCAAAGAGGGAGCAGGAGGAGAGGAACGGCAAACCCAGAUCGGGUGGAAAAAGAGCUCUACCGGGAGCUUAUGUCACUGGUACCAGGCCCUUCAUGCAAGUCAUCAGCUAGGUGUAUCACAUUUCCCCCAUUACACACAGAGCUACUGUGUGCUCUCCUCCCAGAAGACCAACUAACCAGGGAAAAUGGAACCAGCCUACGACCCAGCAACUAACUUCAAGAACUGCCAGCUAACUGUUUCCUACCCAUACAUAGCCUUUUUGUAUUACAUAGUGCAAAGAUCAUAGCAUCACUGUAAACAUUUUAACAGCUUUAGUAAUGAACCAUAAUAUUAACCCUUUAGCAGUGAACCACACAGUGCAGUUACCAAACUAAGAAAUCCCCAGACAAUCUCAACAGGUUCUGCUUGGGAUAAUGCCGUCCUUUACAUCGCCUGUAUAUAAUAAUGUUAAAUUUACACAAAGCACACCAUUGUUUUUCAGGUGAGAUUCUCUACCAGUCUGAUGUGCCACAUGCCUAUCUUCCUAUUUGAAAAACAUAAUUUAAAUCCAAAAUGGAGGCAUUCAAGUUGGCCACCACGUUGGUAACAUCGUCUAACAAGUUUCCCCUUCGCCCACAGCUUAUUUCUAACAUUGGAUCACAGUGUGCCAAACUGUUUUAAUUUUACAUAGGUGUUUCCUUACUUUAGAGACACUCUACAAUCUGUGGGGAACUUGUCAGCAAGUUUCCUACUACCCUGCAGCACCACCACUGGUGAAAUGAAACAUUACACAGUUUGCAUUGAAAUCAAUUGACUGUCCAUGUAAAGCACAUAUGUUCCAGUCCUCCAGAGCAGGGGACACUCUUUGUAACCCCUCUCUGAUGUCAACCCCCUCAACAUUUUCUAAUAAGUUAAUUUCUAAAACAGCUGACCACUUUAGCUCCUGCAAAGUAAACAACCAUGCACACUAAAAGGGUUAAGAGUAAAUCACCUAAAACCAUUGGAAGUAAGAAUUGUAAUCAUAAGGCUCUUUGACUAAUUAGGUUUCUAAGCAAGAAAAACUACUGCAACCAAUGGAUCUGCAUUCUGAUGACAUUAUGUCAUUAACUUCCCAUAGGCUUAAGAUUUUAUUAAGGUGACCCAUGAGCUGUUUUUACAUAAAAGUAACUUUGAUCCCCCCUAAUGCAAAGUAAAUUGGGUGAGAAGUCACUUACUGGAAGGAUCAAAUCCAUAUCAGAUGGGAAAUUGUGGAAGAAUCCAAGAUCUGGAAACAGAAGCCAUACAUCAGGUCCUCAAGGUCAAUAUCCUGUGUGCGCGCCAAUAGUGUUUGAGACAUGAUGCAAA